AUACCCUGGUAGUCCACGCCCUAAACGAUGUCAACUAGUUGUUGGGGAUUCAUUUCCUUAGUAACGUAGCUAACGCGUGAAGUUGACCGCCUGGGGAGUACGGUCGCAAGAUUAAAACUCAAAGGAAUUGACGGGGACCCGCACAAGCGGUGGAUGAUGUGGAUUAAUUCGAUGCAACGCGAAAAACCUUACCUACCCUUGACAUGGUCGGAAUCCUGAAGAGAUUCGGGAGUGCUCGAAAGAGAACCGGCGCACAGGUGCUGCAUGGCUGUCGUCAGCUCGUGUCGUG
rnacentral:rRNA from 1 species